rnacentral:rRNA from 1 species
CAUUAAAGAAUACAAGGCUCUCGAGCCCUAUUCUCACCCUUUGUUUAUUAACUUUGUUGCUUUGGCAGGCCUCCGGCUUCGGCUGGAUCGCGUCUGUCAGAGGCCUAAACUCUUGAAUCUCUGCUGUCUGAGUACUAUCUAAUAGUUAAAACUUUCAACAACGGAUCUCUUGGUUCUGGCAUCGAUGAAGAACGCAGCGAAAUGCGAUAAGUAAUGUGAAUUGCAGAAUUCAGUGAAUCAUCGAAUCUUUGAACGCACAUUGCGCCCUCUGGUAUUCCGGGGGGCAUGCCUGUUCGAGCGUCAUUACAACCCUCAAGCUCUGCUUGGUGUUGGGCUCGCCCUGUACGGCCUGCCUCAAAGUCAGUGGCGGCACCGUCUGACCCUAAGCGUAGUACUACUCGCCGCUUCUGGAAUCGGUCGGCUGCCUGCCAGCCUAACCCC